GAUGAACGCUGGCGGCGUGCCUAAUACAUGCAAGUCGAGCGAAUGGAUUAAGAGCUUGCUCUUAUGAAGUUAGCGGCGGACGGGUGAGUAACACGUGGGUAACCUGCCCAUAAGACUGGGAUAACUCAGGGAAACCGGGGCUAAUACCGGAUAACAUUUUGAACCGCAUGGUUCGUAAUUGAAAGGCGGCUUCGGCUGUCACUUAUGGAUGGGCCCGCGUCGCAUUAGCUAGUUUGUGAGGUAACGGCUCACCAAGGGAACGAUGCGUAGCCGACCUGAGAGGGUGAUCGGCCACACUGGGACUGAGACACGGCCCAGACUCCUACGGGAGGCAGCAGUAGGGAAUCUUCCGCAAUGGACGAAAGUCUGACGGAGCAACGCCGCGUGAGUGAUGAAGGCUUUCGGGUCGUAAAACUCUGUUGUAAGGGAAGAACAAGUGCUAGUUGAAUAAGCUGGCACCUUGACGGUACCUAACCAGAAAGCCACGGCUAACUACGUGCCAGCCGCCGCGGUAA
rnacentral:rRNA from 1 species